GAUGAACGCUGGCGGCGUGCUUAACACAUGCAAGUCGAACGAAGAUGCCGGAGUGCUUGCACUUUGGCAGACUGAGUGGCGGACGGGUGAGUAACGCGUGGGUAACCUGCCUUAUACAGGGGGAUAACAGUUGGAAACGACUGCUAAUACCGCAUAAGCGCACGGUAUCGCAUGAUACAGUGUGAAAAACUCCGGUGGUAUAAGAUGGACCCGCGUCUGAUUAGCUUGUUGGUGAGGUAACGGCCCACCAAGGCGACGAUCAGUAGCCGGCCUGAGAGGGUGAACGGCCACAUUGGGACUGAGACACGGCCCAAACUCCUACGGGAGGCAGCAGUGGGGGAAUAUUGCACAAUGGGGGAAACCCUGAUGCAGCGACGCCGCGUGAGUGAUGAAGUAUUUCGGUAUGUAAAACUCUAUCAGCAGGGAAGAUAAUGACGGUACCUGACUAAGAAGCACCGGCUAAAAUACGUAG
rnacentral:rRNA from 1 species